rnacentral:rRNA from 1 species
AGAGUUUGAUCCUGGCUCAGGAUGAACGCUAGCUACAGGCUUAACACAUGCAAGUCGAGGGGAAACGACAUCGAAAGCUUGCUUUUGAUGGGCGUCGACCGGCGCACGGGUGAGUAACGCGUAUCCAACCUGCCCACCACUUGGGGAUAACCUUGCGAAAGUAAGACUAAUACCCAAUGAUAUCUCUAGAAGACAUCUGAAAGAGAUUAAAGAUUUAUCGGUGAUGGAUGGGGAUGCGUCUGAUUAGCUUGUGGCGGGGUAACGCCACAGGCGACGAUCAGUAGGGGUUCUGAGAGGAAGGUCCCCCANAUUGGAACUGAGACACGGUCCAAACUCCUACGGGAGGCA